GGAUUCCCUUACACACCACAAAAUGACUUUUCUCCAGCAGCCUUGCUUGGCUGUGUGGAGGCUGAACUCGGUAAGGCUUUAAAGCAGGGAGAAAAUUGCGCUUCAUUUCUUCAUCUCCCUUUUGGUCCUUAUGAGGGUGGCUGGUGUUGAGUAAAGGAGCCUAUGGUGGAAGCUGCCUUUUUAUUGCAGUGCUGUAAACCUUGCUGCCUUGUUUUUGAAGGCCUGCUUGGAAGCUGAUGCUAGGGAGCUAUGUUUGCUUCUUGUGUCUCCUAUGGGAAAGGAAAAGAAGUCAAACAGGGAGAAGGCAGAUCAGGAGAAUGGGAAGGAAGGAAAGAAACAUUAAUGAAACAGUGUAAUAGAUCUGAGAUAAGUUAAGGCAUCUUAGCAGAAAGCUUUUCCGAAGUGUCCCCAGAUCUCAGUUUCCUGUCCUUCUUUUCGUUGGGGCGCUUUUACUGAGGGCUGUAACACAGAGCUGCCUGCCCCGGGAUGGGGCACUGCGCUGACUGAGCCGCUCCGUCUGUCCCGCAGGGAUGGAGGCUGCGCUCCGAUGGCUGCUCCGUGCGAUGGGAACGGGCGUCUGCAACGGCGGCAGGAGCCGCGUGAGGACCUCCCCUGGCAGAGGCUCUCUUGCUCCCUUGGCUGGGACGAAGUGCUGUGGCUGCAGGCAUAUGGGGCACACUGAGACAAACCGAGCAGCUUUUUGAGAAUGUCCUGAGACCCUUGGCAAUGGAGAGAGAUUGCAGUGCAAGCACUUUUCUGGAUUACUCUGUCACCGAUGUCAAAUCAAAGCAUCAAGGAUAUAAAUCUUCAGUAAACAUCUGGCCUCACUUCAGCCAGGUUAUGCAAUGCCUCAAGUACAUUCAGCAGCAGAUUAUGCUGCGUUCUCCAUUUGUGCAAUGCAAGCUAAUGUGAAUAUCAAGUCACAUCAGUGGUCUAGACAAGUAGUUGGGAGAUAAAGACAGCAACCCAAAGCGGGAAGUUUGGCCUCUCAGGGCACGUCAAGGGAAAACUGACAUGUCACUGAAGACCCAGAAAGAAAGAAUGCCAGAGAAGAGGUAAAUCAUAGAAAAGCCUAAGCAUCACCUCUGCUCAGAUGGAAGAAGAAAAAAAGAAAAAAAAGCCAGACCCAAACCUUGCCCACCUGGGCAUCCUGCGUGGGAUGGAAUCCAGCCCUGCACUGCCCAGCAAUGGGUCUCCUCCCUGCUUUGUGCAAAGGAAGAUUAAGCAGAAGGGAUAAGAAAAGACAGGGGAAAAAAAUGCAUUUCUUUGCAGUAAACACAGCCUGCAGCCAUCGGUUUCUCUCAGCAUUGGAUGGCAAUUAUUUCUGUGUAAUAAGCAGUCACCCGAUGACCCUCCCCUUCAGCUUGCAACGCUUCUGCUGUCAAGUGUUAAUCCCUUUGUUAGCUACUCAGCUGCACAUUCAUUUAGGAGGACUAAUGACUUACACUGUUCCUUCUCUGCACGAUUUCAGCAGACGUGUAAUUAGAGGUGAAUGGCAGCUUCAGAGGUAUGGCUACCACUGGGGCCGGGGGCAAAGUCAAAGUGUUUGUCUGAUUUCACCAUGGGCUGUUUCAGUGAGUGAAACCAUGUGGGCGGCUGCAUAUGGGGGGGAAAGGAAGUAGGAAAGGAGAAGCCAAAAAAAAGGGAAAGGAUAAGAGUCAGUUGUUGGGCAUUUAGGGAGCUCGGAUGUGAAAAGGAACGUGUUUCCAAAUAUUUCUUUGUUGGGGUGUGAGACUGAGCUGAAUGCCAGCGAGGAGCCUGUUGGCACACAGACUGAGAAGGUACCGAAAGGGUGAAAAGCUUUGUUUCAAAGUGCUGGAGAUCCGUAGUCGUUAGCAGAGUGAGUGUGAGAGCCAGAAAGUGAUUAAAAAAAAGUAUUUUGAAGGUGAGCUGAGGAAGUGCUCGCGUGCCUCCGCAGUGCCUUACAGAAUACAGCCUCUAUUUUUUUUUCUAAGUGAAAGCCAUCGAGGUCUGCAACACCUUGAGAAACAUCCUGUGGCUCUUACACCAUGGGAAGAUGUCCUUUUGAAGUGCAAGUGAAUCCCUGCGUAUGUAUUAACAUCACAGGAUGCAGUAGAAAAGUAUAACAGGGAGCUGAGGUUCUGAUGGAUUUCAGGUAACAACAACAGAAAAAAGCCACAAAGAACCCCAAACCUCUUAGCUCUGAUUUCUAUGCAUUGACAAAGCACAGCUUCGCUGAGCUGCAGCGCUGCUCCCUGUCCUUGCAGCUGUUGGGGCUGAGCCGCAUCCCAGCAGUGUGCGGUGGCCGCUGCUUUUGGUGCUGCAGCGCAGCAUCCCCGGGGCAAUGGACUUCUGCUCUGUCCCAGCAGCAGCGCAGCAUCUCGCAGCUCCCACAGCUGCAUAUUGUCCCCUGCUUUCCCUUUCUUGUUCUUUUUCUUUUUUUUUUCUUUUUGAAAGCUUACCCUGGGUUUUGCUCAGCCCUGUCUCCUCCCAGCAGUGUGCCUGCAGCCCAGGGCUCCCUCCUCUUGUCUCUUCUGGAGUGCGCUGUCUCUUUCCUUCACCCCCCCCUUGUGCAGACGCACAUCAGUGGCUGAUACAACAACUGUGUUGAAGAACAGCCACUUCCAUUCUCUUGGUUGGUUGGGAGGUAAGCAGAGUGCUAGUUCUAUGAAUUAAGAUAACACACCUGCACCAGCGCUUUGAAUUCAGGGGCAUCAUUUCAUUAAAAAUGACGAAACAGAAUAAAUCAAUAACUAAUUAAAAAUGGCUUUAAUUCAGUCUAGGCUUAUGAUCUAAUAUCUCACACAGUUGUCUAAUACAAUUAUAAACGUAAUUUCAUGCCUAAUGAAAUAUAAAUGAAGCAAAAAAGAACAGCAGACUCCAAAGAAACUUCUCCAUCAGUUGCCUUUGUGGCCCCUCCACCCUACCUGCAUCUCUGUCCCAUCUGUUAGGAAGCGAACAGCCAUCACGAUACAGUCUUAUCACUCAUACAAAGCCUUAUUAUUUCUCUGGUCUUCCCCUGCGAAGCGCUGAAGAGGAACUCGAGCAGCCUCAGAGAUGACACACGUUGGGCUUCCAUCUCCCCAGCAAUGCAGCCGUGUCGCCACUGUUGCUGUGCAGCCGGCAGGGACAGGACAUGGUGUGGCUGACAGCCCUGGGGAUGAGGACAUCCAGUUCUGAGGGACUUGCGGUCUGCUGGUAAGCAAACACAAUUAAUUAAAUGGACCUCAGAACGCUGCCUCUGCUUGCCACCCUUCGUAUGUCUGAACUGGAGCCCAUCAGUCAGCCUCUGUUGGUGCCGAUGGAACACCCGGGCAGCACUCGGGACAUCAGACAAACCUGUGGGAGGGGAAGACAGUUACAGUCUGAUUUUUGGAUGCUUGAGGUGAAGAAACAGGCUCUGCCCGUGCAGUCACAGAUGGGACCUUAUGAGAUAUUGGUCAUGAAGUGCCAUCAUGGAAACCUCUGCAGGAAGCUCAAGCUUCAGGAAUCCUAAGCAUCACCGGUCCAAACAAAUUUUGAACUUUCAAGCUGGGAAGGGAGAAAGCAUUUUCUUCUUGAUUUUACUCCAGCUAAAGCACAUUGGGCUGAUCCCGCUUUUGACAGUGCGAGUACUGAAGUCAGUCCUGCAUCACCACCAGUUCACAGACUGGAAAAGUGGAGAAACACCUGCUUGCUGCAGAGGAUCUGCUAAGGAAGUCCAAAGGGAAACUAUGCACAGAGGGGAAAAGCACAGGCCAAGUGAAACAGAACCAUGUGGGUCAUCGUUAUGCUGUUCCAGGUAGGACUGUGGAUACCAAAGCAGGGAUGGGGUGACGGGGCGACCAAAGGAACAAAGGAACAGGCCCACAACCACAACAUCAUAGCAGGAAUUUUACUUACCUUCAGCCUCAAGAGGACAGAGAUUGAGGGGAAUGACAAAGAGAAACAAAAGAUAGGAACUUGUUCCGGGACAAAGGGAUGUUACUAUUUAUGAACCUGCAAGAGAAUUAGAGCUGAAAUACUUAGACAGAAAAAAAAAAAAAAAAAAAGAGAUUUUAAUUAAUGGUGAUAACUCUUAGAAAAAGAACCAGAUUGCCAGCCCUGAAAACUGCCAAUUCUUUUUAUCCACAAUGUAUACACAACCUUGGGGAGGCUGCUGCUAAGAGCCCCAGCACAGGACAUUGCCCUGAGCUUAGAGAAGUCCAACAUCUCAGUGGUCACACACUUUGGCUUUUGCUGCAGCUGCACUUUACAACAUGAGUAGCUGUGCACUACAUCAAUUCCAUGAUACAAUCAGAUCCAUUGACAUGGACAAUUUGUCCCUAAUGACUUGAGUCAGCCUACAAAGGUUACCAAGAAUCACAAAUCCUACUCAGAUAAACGUAGAGUAGCACAGGUCCCAUUCAAGGACCAAACCUAAGGAAGUCAUGGUAAAUGGAUUACCAAGCCCUUCUAAUACCUAGGGACAUUCUUAUUUAAAAAUAAACUAUAAAAAUAAAGAAAAAUGACUCCUCAUUCAGAUCAAGUCAUUUUGGUUAAAUUCCUAUUAUCCUGUUUAAACAGCAUCCUUUUAUCCCAGUUUUGAGGAGCAUCAUAUCUGUGGGGGCCACAAGGCACAGAAUUUGGCAAAGCAGCAACUGCAGAAUUUCUUCCUGAGUUAGAAGAGAGGGGGAGGGAUUGUUUUUUUUAGUUGUUAAUACAUUCUGGAGCAAUGAGGUGUUAGCAGAAGCCUUUCACCAUCUCCCUCGACAUCCUGUUCCCCACCCCUCUGCAGCUGGAUGGGAACUCACCUCCCAGCAGUUCUAGGCAGACAGACUGGGGUAACAAAUCCCCUGGUAGAAAGAAAUGCAAUCUGACUGAUCCCUGAAAAUGUAAUUUCUAGUUCACGGGGGCUAACAGAUGCAGGUAGCUCAAGCUAAAGCAGAAGGGUACCACCUCACCACAGCUUUCUUACGGGAUGGAAAAGCAGUGAUCUUUACUACUAGAGACUGAUAUUGCAUAGAUUAAGUCAAAUGUAUCAACUUCGCUUUAACAUGAGUGUUUCUAUUACCUGGGUCAGAGAGUCUGUGCAGUCACUCUCCAGAACCCGCUGUUAUUAAUUCAGCAAUUAUAGCUUUAUGGUGGCAGGGAUUCCUCGGUGUUUGAGCUGGCGCUGGAAAGCUGUAAUUCUGAAUGGAACAUGACAUGAAUUACUGGAUUGCUGUAAUUCUUCAGCUUUUCAUGCAUUUUCACUGCAUAUAUUAAAAUACAGCAAGCAAUUCACUUUUAAUUAUGUAAAUUCCAAGACAGUAAGACAAGAGAUGGAUGAGUUUUUAAAUGCCUGCUCUGCCUGACCACCUGUGGCUAGCACAGAAAGCCAUGGGCUCAGCAGGUCACCCUGCCCUCCGCACUCCUCCUCUCCCGGCUGUGCACAACACCGCCUCUUUUUAGUAUUCAGCGGUACUUCGAGAGCAAAGAGCACAGGAAAGAAAUGGCCAGAGGGGGGCUGGGAAAAGUCAGAUCCUGUCCACCUGCCUCCCUCACUUCUCUGGGUUUCCAAACAGACGAUACAUCACUGUUCUGACAUCAACAUAAGACCGCAAGGGCUGCAGAUAUUUACUGCUCUCUUAUUUGGCAAUUAUCUUCUCAAUGUUGAGAUGUUAUUAACAACUUCACCAGAAUAUAUGAGUCAGGAUCAUAAUUCUACAGCUCUAUGCCUGGCUUCUUUGCUGCUCCUUAGCAAAGCUCAUGGCUGCAACCAGCAGCACGUCCAUGCACAAGUCUGUGCAGUUAUUGUAAAGGAGAAAUAGGUUACACUGUUCUCAAAGACAUUGUUUUUAAACUGUAAGAUUCUGAGUGCAAGUAAUGAUGGCUUGUUAAAAGUCUAGUGACUGUAUCUAAUAGCUGCAGUGUUUGGCGCUGUAAUUACAGUAGCAAGAGAUUGCUGAGCACGUGUAAAAAAGGAAUAAUUGGGGUAGCAGCAACGCAAAAGCUUCUCUGGGCCUAAAGCAACUGUUAUUUUGCCCUCCUACUGAUGUGCCACUUAACGAAGCUACAAUGGUUGGAAACGAGCUCUCUUUGCAGUUAAGUUGGGUGUUUUCUGUUUAGGAGCCCUACGGUUUCACCCCCAGUACCUCCGCAGCUCAGGACGCAGAGGUAAAAUUACACAAACGCUUAUUGCCUUGCCCUGCGAGAAUACAUCUGCCUCUCCUCCCUAGACGCCAGGGAGAACUUUCAAGCAAGCAAAUUAGCAAUGCAAAUCUACAGCGACCUCUCCGAGGAGAGAGCACUGCUGUGCUCUGUUCUUCACGUUAGUAUUUCCAACCCUGGUGGACACUUUCCAUUUUCUCUAAUCUCUUCAUCCUCUUUUCCCCACCUAGGGACGUUUCUUUGCUCAUCUCAGUCUCGCUUCUCUAAAGGUGGUUUCUUGCAGCUUCAUCAGCAGCUAUUCUGUCUGCUGGAGUCUUCUGCUGCUUUCCUGUGUGCCUAUUGCAGAACUGCAAAAGAACACCAUCUUCCUGAAGUAGUAGAUGGAGUGCGUUUCCAUCCUGCUCUUGGCAUUGCUAUUACAAGCUUCACUUGGAUGUGGCAUGUGCCCCCAAACCCUGGAAUUCAGCCUCAUCCCCAAGCUUUUUGAACCUCUCUGCUCUGUUCUGGCAUACCUAUUGAUCACAUCUAUAUAUCUAGCCAGAAGCGAACCUUACCUUCACCCCUAAAGCUCCUGCAGAAACCUCACUUGUUUGUUAGUCAGCUGCUUUCCUGGGUCACUGCGGGUCUUUUCUAAAAAUCGUGUGCAAUUUUACCACUCGCUGAGCAAAGAACAGAACUACCUGCCUUCCUUCUUUACCUGCUUUGCUUUCACAGAGCAAUGCCUUUCUGGGCAGGGAUGCUACUGCAUCAGGCACUUACCAACAAGUAUCACCAUGUUCCCUACUUCUACUCCCAAGCCAUCGCAUGACUUCUCUCAGUCUCAGCGUGAGACAAGCCUGAUUUGAGCCAACAAAACAUCCGAACACAUGUUCCUCUAUGAAUUCAUCAGCAGAAAAGGCUGAGACCCCAGAACUAAACAACUGUGGUACUCUUCCCACUGCAGUAGGAAAAGUACCUCUUGCUCAUUGUGAGCAGUCGCUGGAAACUUUUCUACGUUCCAGUACACAACAGGAAAAGCAGACACUGUGUUUAUAACCAGAAGGAAAAGAAGAGCGCAAAAGGAGCUGCUGGCUGUGGGACUGAGGGAGUUCUUUCAAAGUAUAAAACGAAGCACAAGACUUGUGCAGAUCCUUCUGUAUCCUGCCGUUGUGUAGCAAUGGCAGUUGCAACUCUUAACAUUAAUUCUGCAAUACACAUCUACUGCUGGUUCCACCAACCAAAGACUGUGUAAAGAUCACCUUGCAAUGAGAAUCAGUUUAGCUCCAUUUAUUUCUUUAACGUCAGUGGAAUCACAGAGAUCACUUAUAACCUUGCAUGUUAAGUAAAGCAAUUAAUUGCACUACUGCACCAGGUUUAGACAUGAAAGGCAGACUUAAUAACAGGUUUAAAGAAAAGGCUUAGAGUAGGGGUUCAGAAUGCAGAAUAAGGGUUAGUGACAGCUAAUACCAGCCUGUAUAUAGAGAGCAAGGUUAAUAGUUGGCUUAAAGAUUGCUCAGAUCAAUAAAAGAACAGCACAAUGUACAUAAUAAUAUUUGUUUCCAUCAGUGUUUUGAUGGAAACAAGUGGCAGAAGCACCAAGACUGCCCCUUCAUUUAAAGCAUGGUUUACAUGUGCAUGCUGGCUGCCAGACUGGAAACAUCCACUUCUGGCCUCGUCUCGGGGGGCUUCCCAUGCAGCUGGUAGAGAGCAUGGGAUGCAUUUCACAUCAGACUACAAAGGCAUCUGUGGAGCCUGGCUGUGACAAGGUAUCCUCCAACCAGACAUCAGUGCGGGGUGGGAAUGGCCCCGUACUGCCAAGACACGGAGGGUCUGGAGCCUGGGGUGGACUGAAGAAAUGGGGUCUGGGUUAACAGCAUGGCUGGAGUAACUGGUGAGUACAAUAGGGCACAUAACACUUUUUGCAGAGGUCUGAAGGUGAACUGACAUACAGCUCUCAUUUUCAAGGAACAUGGGAGGCCUAUUUUGCUUAUUGCUGAAAGAAAUGUAAGAAUGUUUGAAUUUGAGGCGCCUCAAUACCUUUUUAAUACCUUUGUUCUUAGCGUUCUUAACACCUGCUUAGAGCGAGCAGAAGUGGAGGUUGGCAGGGAAAAAUUAGCAAUUGCCCACCCAUCAUUCAUUUCCCAGGCUGUUCCCAGGGCACAGCAAUUAUGCACUUCACCUCACUCAGGACAGGCUGUAAAAUCUCGGUAUUGUCCUUAAGUGCUAAAUCAAAGCAAGCAAAAAACGGUAAGUAAAUGUUUCCCACGCAACUGCUGCCCUUUGUAAGAAAACUAUUGAACUGAAAAUGAAAGGCAUCCAUAGGUACAUAACCAACGUUUCUAAUUUUACUUGCAGUGAUCCAAGGCGCUGUUUAAACAGCGAUGCUAUUACAGAUUUACUUAGCUGGUUUCUUUCUGAGUGCACCAGAACCCUGAUCCUUGCAACAAAGAAUGCCAAACAAAGCAGCAUUAGGCAAGUUACUGUGAAACGAAGGCAUAUUUGCACAGCAAUAGAAAGAUCUAAAUGGGACCAUAACGAGCAACCAAAUAGUAACGCAGUUGAGGGCAUUGCUUUGUAGGAAACAAGUGGCUAUUCUGAACCCUGAAGUGCCAAAUGUACUGAAUCACAAGAGCUCACUAAAAUGAGAGCAAACAUCUCAAUCCCUUCUGAGUAUGUACAAAUAUCAAAGCGAUUUGGGGCUGUUAACCUCCUCAGCUCGGUGACGGUAUCUUCACCAUCAGCGCACAGCACUUCCCUGUUCACAAACUGUCCGUAUAAUGGUUCGGUUUGACUGCAGCGCAAUGCAUGACUGAGGGGACGUUAAUAUCGAACAACUCUGAGUAGCUCAUCACCAAGGAUGAUUUAAAUAAAACAGAAAGUAAAGAAAGCAACACUACCCUUUGUAUCUGACAAUGUAGAGGGCGAAGUCGUGCCCAAAAUAUUUGGAUUUUUGUUUUCACAUGGAUUCCAUUGCUCCCACCUUCCUAAAGAGCCGAACAGUUUUAAGUGUACCUCCUUUGUUUCUGCUGCUCUGUCCUCUCUAGUUCCAAAGCUACAGCUGAAGUGCAUCCAUUCCCCCUCCCCUGCUCUGGCAUCCCAGCAGGACGGCAGCCAGGUCUCCUCCUGUAUGCCUCACCGUGUCAGCUCAAUUCCUCCCCCUAGAAACUGCCUUCCAGUUUUCUGAAUGUUUGGGGACACAGAUAAAUUGUAAAGUGGUCAUGGAAAUAUAAGAAGCAAAGAUAUCUUUCUUUCCAGAUUAGAUAAUUAUCCACUGAGAGAGGAAAUAGCAACAACAAAACGGCUUCAAAUUCUUCUGAACAUAAUUGAGUCUUUUAAGAAAUACCCCAACACCUAAACAGCCAUUCCUUUACUUGGAGGAGGGGAAAAUGCCAUAAAGCUUAAGGAGCAUUUUGUUCGGGAAAUCACAUCUUUCCCUAUUUUGCAGCUGACACAUUGCAUUGCAGAUCUGUCACAGCACAUUACCUCGGUGAUGUAACGUAACGCAACACUGCUGAUGCGACCCAAUCCGAUGUGUCCAACGUGAUACAUCAGCUACAAUAUCUGAAAAGCUUUUUUUCUGAAAACAACCUGUAUAGAAGGGACUCCUCUUUACCAAUUAAAAAAAAAAAGCCUUCCCAAAGAAUUGCAUCACCGGGAGAUAAUUGCUUUUUCACAGGUAAUUAGCAAAUACAAUUAGUUGUGGGAAAAGUUUGCUUUUCAGCAAUUCACACCAAAAAAAAAAAAAUGGUGAACAAAAGAUGACUGUGGCUGACAAAUAACCGCUUCCCAUGGCACCAGCUGAACCCACCCGAGUAGCAGCGGUUACAGGCUCAGAUCACACCACCACCGGACUCACUUUCUGUUCCCCACCAACACUCAGAGGAUAACCAGAAGUUCACCUUGUGAACUCUUCACAAACUGUCUGGCAGCUGAUUUUGCUCACCUGUGCAGUCGAUGUUAAUCACAGAAUCAAACAAAGAUACACCUCUCAGCACACGCCAUGGGAAGCUCUGCAGAUGCUUUGAGGACUACCUGCAGUCCUGCAGAGAAUUGCUGGAUUUUCACAGACAGGAGGACACGGUCCAUGUCACCAUGAUCAGAUGAAUACUAAGGAUCAAUGGCCUUAAAUAUUCUACUGGAGUGGCAGUGGUAUUUGUCAGCAGAGGAGACUUCAGCUCAAGCAAAUGACACCUUACCGCAUUGAUGGCAGCCAUCCAGAAAGCAACAACCACCCCUCCUCCCUCUAUCACUUGUUGGAGGGCAAAUGAAAGCUAACCUCACAGAACAGCCUGGGUUGGUGGAGGGCAUCCCAAAGAGCACCCAGUUCCAACCCCUGCCAUGGGCACGGCCUGCCAACCACUCCAUCCAUCACUCAGUCCCCUCAAACUGCCAGUGGCUGCUAUGGAGGGCUUCAGAGGCAGAAGCAGCCAUCCCCCCACGGCGCUCCCUUUCCCUUCCCCACCCAGCGCUCCAUGUGCAGGCUGCCAGCAGCAGGACUGGGGCGCAGACAGGGCGCCAGGCCCUUCCACUCACUGCUUAGACUGAUUUUUCAAGUGUAAAAUGUAAUUCAAAUCUCCAUAAAAAGCUAUUUGCUCCCUAGCCUCGCAAUUCUUACACCACGUUUCAACCGUGAAAUCCAAUUGGAAAAAAAAAAGAAGCCUUAUGUUCAAGGUCUGAAAAUCCUGCAAGAGCCUUUAGCUCUCAGACUGAAUUGUAUCUUAAACGCCAUCUGACCAGUUCUGUCUCUUUCCUCUGAUGGGAUGGCGUGGUGCCUGGUCUCUAAAUGCCUGAUCCUGAUUGCUGGGCACCCCCCAGACCUAAAUUCAGGUACUCGUGGGCUAUGUGUCCCUCCACAAAGCUGUUCUAACAACAGAAUCCAAGCUGAGCUUUCUCAAGUUUGAAAAUAUGGCCCAAAAUGCAACUGUGCAAAUUAAUCUCUGAAAUUCAGAGCCCAUGCUGCCCAGCUGUGAACGCCGCAGUAUCACAGCCCCCUCUGUACCAUACACACACAUAUUUCCAGCCCUUCCAGAUGCACUGCUGCUCUCCAUGCUGAGGCAAUUCAGCAGAGAGCACAAAUCCUGAUGCAUCUAUUGCAUGCCCUGGACUAUUCCCCCCCCCCCCCCCCCCCCCCCUCACUGAUGUAUAUCUGGAUACUCCAGACCUCUUGAAUAUAAAAACUCAUCACAGCACUCUGGAACACAGGUUGAUACCUCAGCUGAUACACACCAGUCAGACAAUUCAGGAGCUUUCACCAGUUCAAACAUUUUCUGAAUCAGGAACUUUCAGUGGGGUCCAAGUACGGUAACAGCACAGGGUUGCCAGCAGCCCAAGUUCUAACCCAGAAAUAGAUAAAGCUUUGAAUUGACACAACUUCUAAUCCCUUAGUUAACAUGAGUUAUAGGAAUCAACACUGAAUUAUAGGAAACAACACAAUGAUUUCUAUUUGCACACACGUUCUGCUCCAAUGCCAUAAAUCAUAACCACAACCUCCACUGGGCUUUCUACAGGCACAGAAAUAGGCAAAAAUCAUUCAUCUUUCAUUAAACACAAGAGAAGUUUCUGGCUUUUAUGAUGAUAACACAAAGCCUGCAAAUACAAUCUGUAUGUAUUCUACAGGCUCAGAAUGAGCCUCGUUAUCAGUGUAUCAUUAGCUACAGAUUGUCCCCUUGUCAAUAGGAUGUGAGAUGUUUCUGAAGAGCCCCGAAGUGAUGUGUGCCACACAUGUGAAUUGCUCCAUACACCCAACCCAGCACAACGUGCCACCUGACCGCGUUAAGCUCGCAGAAGAUAGAAAUCAGAAGAGCUUUUUCCAAACCAAACCUCCCUCUGGGUUCUCUCCUGACCUCUGGGUGUGAAGGCAUACGGCUCUCAAAAGGCAUUCUGGAACUUCCAGCCAUCCCUUAUAUCACACAUCUUUUGCUUUCUGCUGUUAUGACACCCAGCCCAUGGGACCCUGUGCUUCUGGGUGAAAUCGGCCACCCCAUUGGAAAGCCAUCAUGCAGUGGCAAUUAUUUCUCUGUGAGCACUAUUCACCCAAUAUCCUGCUUUCUGUUGGAAGAAAUGUUGGCCCGGGUGCCUGACUUCUAACGAAGAACACUUCAUUAUAUCUCAGGGACUGGGAAACCUCAUCUGUAUCUAUUUAUGUAGCACACCUAUGGCUGUGGGAAGAAAAUACCUUUUUUCAAGUCAUGGGUUUUGUUCCAUGACAUGGCAGUUAUCUGCGGCAACAUCAGGUAACAGCACCACCUUCUGCCAACACGUUACCAUCUCUGUAGAAAACCAAUAGAUGCAUUUUCUCUCUGCGAUUUCAGUGGCUUUCUCAAACACUUCUGAUGCAGACAACAAAGUUCAGAGCAAAGCCCUAAGGGCUGUUUUGAAACACCCCAAGCUGUCUUACAGUAAUGAAAUUACUGUCAUGUAACCAACUUCAGAGGUGCAAUGAAUGCCCUGAGCUGGGCAACGCAACAGGGUGAGGCCGGCACUAUGAAACAGCCCUGGGAGGACAGCUGGGCACAUCUGUCUGAGUCUCUACAGGAAACUCACUCCCCAUCUCCGCAGUGUUUUACAUUGGUCCCCAGAGGUGCACAGAAGGGUACGGUACGUCCUACAGCUUUAGAUGAUUUAAGAUGCCUGAAAAUAAUCAUCUUUCUUUUUCUAUAGGUUCUCUUUGUCCUUAGCAGACAAUCUGGGACUGCCUUGCCUUCAGAUGUCCAAAUUUUAGGCAGUUGACUUUCAGAGAGAUGAACAUUACACAAUACACGUAUUUGCUUUUGAGAGCAAAACUGUGUUUUUACCUCAACAAACGCCCUAUUUUCCUGCCAAAUUCUUCCCUCUGUGUGGGACCAACGUGCACAUGGAGCCAAGGAACGCAGGAGAAAUGGUGUCAGCGGACACAGAGGUGAAGAAUAAGGUGCCAAUCAAUAAACCAGUAAUUAGCUCUGUUUGGCAGGUUGGGGGUGUUUGGGUUUUGGUAUUUUGCUGUUGCGUUUUUUUUUUUCCUGCUGGUUUUGAAAGAAGUUUGCUUAUCUAAGUUUUAUAACCACUUAAAUGAAUCCCAGCUCUGUUCAAAUCAAUGAAAGCUUUUGCGAGACAGCUGUAAUUUUAUGUGCAUGUGUUUCAGUAAAUUAGAGGGUUUAGCCUUAAGGAUUCACUUUAGUGUAAUCUACUAAAAAGAUAAGUAGAGCCAGAUGCAGUGUCUUACAACCGCUGGACAGUCGCAACUGGAGCGACAGCACUGACAGCAACUUUAUGGCUUUCCUCAUAGGGAGCAGAUUUCCUGACUCAAAAAGAGCAGUAUUUUACAUAAAUAGUUGUCAAUAUUUUGUAUUUACGAUGCAAAGAAAGAAGGGUGCAAAUAGUGAAAAAAUGAAAUAAAAUUAGCCCAAACAACUGAUAA
ensembl:lncRNA